rnacentral:rRNA from 1 species
AUGGACGAGUACAGAAAGCCGCGGUACUACGUGGCGAUCGACACCCUCUCCGGCCUCGACUCGGCGACGGAUCUUGGCAGGCCCUUGCUGGAUCCGCUGUUCAACAUCACCCUUAGCGUCGCCUCGCGAGGCUUCCGGCACAGCGAGUGCAUCCCGCCCGGCACGUACGUGGAGGUCUCAUACCACGGCUCCCCGCUCGCCACCGGGACCGCCGUGCAGCUCUGCGCCAGGCCGCAGAAGGCGCCGAGGGAGCAGUCCCUCGUCGCAUGGGGCCGUGGCGUGCGCGUCCCGAGCUUCAGGCUGGACAACCUCGCGGCCGAUGCGCGGCUCGACGUCGAGGCGUUCGAGGUCACGCUCCAGAUGCCACCGACCCACGACCACAUGGGAAAGAUCGUGACGUGUAAGGCUAGGAGGGUAGGGGACGCCGCCGCCUUGCGGGCUCCGUGUGACUCGUCCAACAUGGGCCAUUAUUGGACGUCGUCACCAAAGGAUCUGCACGGCGGCGCCUGA